GUCAGUGGGAGCUCCGUGGUUAAGACAUUGGACUACUGAUCGGAAGGUCGUAAGUUCAAAUCCCAGCACUGCCA